ensembl:lncRNA novel transcript
UACAGAAUGACUAGACAGAAAAUACUUCCUUAGUUCUGUAACAAGCAAUGAUUCCUGGAGUGGGAAAUGUUCUUGUGGGACCAGAGCUCAGUUGCAGCCUUUGCAGACUAAUGCUCCUGAUAUUAACAAGAGGUCUUGUGUUAACCCAACGAUCUAACUCCAGCCUGGUGAACCUGAUCUUUGGAACUAUUAGGGGGGAAGAUAAAAAGCCAGGGAACUGGGGAGAUGCCAAAGUAAUCACUUUCUGCUUGCUCAAGUUUGCCUGCAGUUUUCAAUUGGAUGCAGUGCCUUCCAUUUCCCACCCUACAUUUUUGCAGAGCUGUGACACUGUACUUCAGAGAAGAGCUACAAAUCUACAUCCACAUGCUGGCAGAAAUCCAGAAGGAUGCACACUCAGUCAUGACAGCAUCUACGAGACCAGGAUGGUGGGCUUCUGAUUAAAGGAU